rnacentral:rRNA from 1 species
UACUCGAGUGGCGAACGGGUGAGUAACACGUGGGUGAUCUGCCCUGCACUUCGGGAUAAGCUUGGGAAACUGGGUCUAAUACCGGAUAGGAGCCAUCUUUAGUGUGGUGGUUGGAAAGUUUUUUCGGUGUAGGAUGAGCUCGCGGCCUAUCAGCUUGUUGGUGGGGUAAUGGCCUACCAAGGCGGCGACGGGUAGCCGGCCUGAGAGGGUGUACGGCCACAUUGGGACUGAGAUACGGCCCGG